rnacentral:rRNA from 1 species
UGAGGAAUAUUGGUCAAUGGGCGGGAGCCUGAACCAGCCAAGCCGCGUGAGGGAAGAAGGCCCUAUGGGUCGUAAACCUCUUUUGUCAGGGAACAAAAGCGAGUAUGUAUACUAGUCUGAGUGUACCUGAAGAAAAAGCAUCGGCUAACUCCGUGCCAGCAGCCGCGGUAAUACGGAGGAUGCGAGCGUUAUCCGGAUUUAUUGGGUUUAAAGGGUGCGUAGGCGGCGAUGCAAGUCAGCGGUAAAAGCCCGGGGCUCAAACCCCGGCGAGCCGUUGAAACUGCAGUGCUAGAGAAGGCGAGAGGUACGCGGAAUGCGCAGUGUAGCGGUGAAAUGCUUAGAUAUUGCGCAGAAACUCCGAUUGCGAAGGCAGCGUACUGGCGCCUGACUGACGCUGAAGCACGAAGGCGUGGGGUAUCGAACAGGAUUAGAUACC